GGGAGGAAAAGAAACCAACAGGGAUUGCCUUAGUAGCGGCGAGUGAAGCGGCAAAAGCUCAAAUUUGAAAUCUGGCACUUUCAGUGUCCGAGUUGUAAUUUGAAGAAGGUAUCUUUGGGUCUGGCUCUUGUCUAUGUUUCUUGGAACAGAACGUCACAGAGGGUGAGAAUCCCGUGCGAUGAGAUGUCCCAGACCUAUGUAAAGUUCCUUCGAAGAGUCGAGUUGUUUGGGAAUGCAGCUCUAAGUGGGUGGUAAAUUCCAUCUAAAGCUAAAUAUUGGCGAGAGACCGAUAGCGAACAAGUACAGUGAUGGAAAGAUGAAAAGAACUUUGAAAAGAGAGUGAAAAAGUACGUGAAAUUGUUGAAAGGGAAGGGCUUGAGAUCAGACUUGGUAUUUUGUAUGUUACUCUCUCGGGGGUGGCCUCUACAGUUUACCGGGCCAGCAUCAGUUUGAGCGGUAGGAUAAGUGCAAAGAAAUGUGGCACUGCUUCGGUAGUGUGUUAUAGUCUUUGUCGAUACUGCCAGCUUAGACUGAGGACUGCGGCUUCGGCCUAGGAUGUUGGCAUAAUGAUCUUAAGUCGCCC
rnacentral:rRNA from 1 species